rnacentral:rRNA from 1 species
UACGGAGGGUGCAAGCGUUAUCCGGAUUCACUGGGUUUAAAGGGAGCGUAGGUGGGUUGGUAAGUCAGUGGUGAAAUCCCCGAGCUUAACUUGGGAACUGCCAUUGAUACUAUCAGUCUUGAAUACUGUGGAGGUUAGCGGAAUAUGUCAUGUAGCGGUGAAAUGCUUAGAUAUGACAUAGAACACCAAUUGCGAAGGCAGCUGGCUGCACAAUUAUUGACACUGAGGCUCGAAAGCGUGGGGAUCAAACAGG